GGAAGUCUUAGGAAUGGGUAAGUGCUCCUGCUCCCACACAGUCUACAGACCUGGGUGCAAUGGUGAGAAAGACCUCAGUAAAGCAAAGGAAUUACGAAAGGGAGAGGAUUGAGAGUCACACCAUCAAUUCCCCUGGUUCUCAGCCCUUCAGAGACAGACUGAAUUACACCACCGGCUUUCUUGGUUCUCCAGGAUGCAGAUGGCAUUAACAUGAGACUCCUUUACCUCCAUGACUGUGGAGGCAGCAGCUGAGGCUGUGGUGGGAGAAGAAUGACAAGAACUGAGCGUGGGCCACGGGCUCUUACCUUCAGCAACUUCAUCAGCUCUUCUAGUUGGACCAUCAGCUCCCGCCUGCUCUCCUGCAGGGCCGACAUCCUCUGCUCCAGUUCAUCCUUCCUUUGCCUAUCCAAGAGG
rnacentral:antisense_RNA from 1 species